GUAACUGCUCCAUUUUGGAGCUGCCUUACUCAACGAAAAUUUACCAAAACAACAAUACAAUGGGAAAAUAAUAUUGUUUGCCAACUGAAAUGAUACAUUGUUGUGGCAUAAAAUAACAGAAUUGCAUGCAAAUCUCCAGUGACGCAUCGCCACUGAUCACAUCAUGGAUUGAAAGAGAAAGCAUGUACACCAUCUUAAGAAGUAUGGAGAACUGACGGCAAACACACUGAAGAUAAAAAAAAAAAUGUAUCUUCAGUAAUGUGCCACCAUCAAGCAGAGCACAUUACUGAAGAUAAAUCCAUCGACAAAGCUGUGGUGAAGUACGUGGUCCAAGGGCUCCAAACAUUUGCUGUUUUAGAACAAGAACCGUUCAGAGAGUUUGUCCAGGAUCUGCAGCCUAACUAAAGAUCUUAUCAAGGCCCACACUGCGCUCCAGGAGUGAUGAAGCCUCCACGGAAAUGAAGAAGAAGGUGACUGAGGCCAUGAGAGGAGUUGACCACAUCGCCACCACCAACGACUGCUGGUCUGCAAGAAGAUGGAGUUUAAUUGGUGUUACAGCCCACUGGAUAGACCCUGACAGUCUCAACAGAUGCUCUGCACCCCUGGCCUGUAAACGGUUGAGAGGAUCGCACACCUUUCAUGUGUUGGCAGGCACCCUAAAUGACAUCCAUUCUGAGUUUGAAAUUGUGAGAACAACAACAGACAACGGCUCUAACUUCUUGAAAGCUUUCCAAGUUUUUGGAGAAGAUGAAAACAACAAGACAGUGGAAGCAGUGGGUGGUGAAGCAGCUCAGCCAGGACAGGAAGAUGGUGAAGAGAAACAAGAGGAGAUUGAAGAAGUGGAGUUUGUUGAUGUGGCAACGAUCAUGAAUGAAGAUGAUGGUUUUGAGUACCAGCUGCCGAAGCACCAGCGCUGUGCUUGCCACCUACUCAACUUAGUAUCUACAGUCGAUGCCCUGAAAGCAACAUCCAGUGAGGCUUACAAAAAAAGUGUCCCGUUCAACAUUUGCCAAGUGCCAAGCACUUUGGAAGAAGUGCGGAAGAUCCACACUUGCAGCCGAAACGGUUGAAGAUGCUUACGACCUCCAGCUGCUGCGCUGGAAUGCUACAAGGUGGAACUCCUGGUUCAUGGCUGUAGAAAGACUCCUGAGGAUCGUCAAAGACAAAGGAGAGGCGGCCUUCAGAGUUCUCUGCACAGACUUCGAGGUUCCAAUGUUCAAUCCAGCUGAACUCGCCUUCCUGACAGAGUAUGCUGCCACCAUGAGCCCAGUCGCAAAGGCCAUCAACAUCCUGCAGGCUGAAACCAAUGUCCAGAUGGGGUGGCUACUUCCAACUAUCAACCUUGCUGAUCACAAAACUUGACCGACUCAAGUUGUCCCUGAAGGACUGUAUGUCACGAUCGUCGGUAAGAGAGGAGGACCAAGGCACAGCGUUGCAGGCAAACAUACUCUUUAUU